rnacentral:rRNA from 1 species
AGAGUUUGAUCCUGGCUCAGAACGAACGCUGGCGGCGUGCUUAACACAUGCAAGUCGAACGAGAAAGUUCCUUCGGGAACGAGUAAAGUGGCGCACGGGUGAGUAACGCGUAGAUAACCUGUCCAGGUGUAUGGGAUAGCCCUUCGAAAGGGGGAUUAAUACCGUAUACGUUGGUCUUCUUUAAGGAGGAUCAAGAAAGGUGGCCUCUAUUUAUAAGCUAUCGCAUUUGGAGGGGUCUGCGUACCAUUAGUUUGUUGGUGGGGUAAUGGCCUACCAAGACUUCGAUGGUUAGCGGGUCUGAGAGGAUGAUCCGUCACACUGGCACUGAGACACGGGCCAGACUCCUACGGGAGGCAGCAGUGAGGAAUAUUGCGCAAUGGGGGAAACCCUGACGCAGCGACGCCGCGUGGGUGAGGAAAGCUUUCGGGUCGUAAAGCCCUGUCAGAAGGGAAGAAAUGUUUACAGGAUAAUACCCUGUAGAUUUGACGGUACCUUCAAAGGAAGCACCGGCUAACUCCGUGCCAGCAGCCGCGGUAAUACGGAGGGUGCAAGCGUUGUUCGGAAUCACUGGGCGUAAAGGGCGCGCAGGCGGCUUGAUUAGUCAGAUGUGAAAGCCCACGGCUUAA